AUGAUGGACUAUAGGACAGGACUGCUGCUGUUAACUAUCUGCUGGGCAGGUGUUUAUGGUCAGACUCUGACAGAAUCUGAACCAGUGGUUAAAAGGCCUGGAGAUUCCCACAAACUGACAUGUUCAGCCUCUGGAUUUAACUUUGGUGGCUCUUGGAUGCAUUGGAUCAGACAGGCUCCUGGAAAAGGACUGGAGUGGAUUGCUAUUAUUCAUCCUGAUGGCAGUAGCCAUAUAUCCUACUCUCAGUCAGUCCAAGGCCGGUUCACCAUCUCCAGAGACAAUAGUAGAAACCAGCUGUAUCUGCAGAUGAACAGUCUGAAGACUGAAGAUUCUGCUGUUUAUUAUUGUGCCAGAGACUCACAGUGACUGGAGCUGGUUGAGCAGCUGUACAAAAACAUACAGUGCUCCUUAGACCACAAGCAUUAUUUAUUUUUUAACUAUUUAUACUACAUAUUGAACAUUUCAAUCACUGU